rnacentral:rRNA from 1 species
CCCUUAGAUGUUCUGGGCCGCACGCGCGCUACACUGACGGAUUCAACGAGCUUACAACCUUGGCCGAAAGGUCUGGGUAAUCUCCAAAAUCCGUCGUGAUGGGGAUAGAUUAUUGCAAUUAUUGAUCUUCAACGAGGAAUGCCUAGUAAGCGCAAGUCAUCAGCUUGCGUUGAUUACGUCCCUGCCCUUUGUACACACCGCCCGUCGCUCCUACCGAUUGAAUGGUCCGGUGAAGCGUUUGGACUAUGGUUUUCUGAUGGUCCGCCGUUGGAUUACCGUGGGAAGUUCGUUAAACCUUAUCAUUUAGAGGAAGGAGAAGUCGUAACA